AAUGUCCAUAGAGGUGUUGCAGGUUUGGCUACUGUGUCACAUGUACAUCGUUAGGUAGUAGAGAAGAGAGAGGCUAUAUCUACGUUGAGUCUUCUGACCUGUAAACAUCUGAAUGAUUACUAGCCUAACACU